UCCAAGAGGUUCAAUCAUCAACCUAACCCUCACACGUAGCUUACCAUCCAAAAUCAACUCACCUCUAGAGCUAAAACCACUAUUCAUUCCUGCUCCCCAAGAGAUAGAGCCUAUUUCCCUUAUUCCUUCUUGAGCCUUACAAAUGAAGUACACAAAUGCCACUUCCCACCAUUCUCCUAGAGAGAUUCCCUGGCAAAGUUCACCUUCGAUACAGUUACAUCGAGUUCUUCACUCCCUGCUACUUUUUUAGAGACCACAAUUGGAGUUCUUAGGAUCAACUCCUAGAGCCCCCUCAUGGUCAGCUCCUAGAGCCUCCCCACCUCUAGCCAAGAUGCACACUUCUCAUCCGC
rnacentral:lncRNA from 1 species